AACAACAGCGAAAAAACAAAAGAGAGAAUGAAGCGUUCUUUAUAAAACUAGGGUUUUUGUUUUAAUUUUGAUUAAACCAGGGUUUACCUAAACCGACAUUAAUUAAACCUUUUUUGAUUCAAUUAAACAAAUCGACCAGUUUAGGAAAUCCACCGGAAUUAAACCGACUCCACCCUAAUUCUUAUACAUAUUCAAGUCUCCUAUUAAUUUCCAGAACACA
rnacentral:lncRNA from 1 species